GGUCUUAUAGUGUAGCGGUUAUCACAUCGGAUUCUGAAAUCCCCUUCCUCACAGAAGGAUCAACCACUUCCGGUAACCCCGGUUCGAUUCCGGGUAGGACCU